UACGUAGGGUGCAAGCGUUGUCCGGAAUUAUUGGGCGUAAAGAGCUCGUAGGCGGUUUGUUGCGUCGGCUGUGAAAUCCCGAGGCUCAACCUCGGGUCUGCAGUCGAUACGAGCAAACUAGAGUGUUGCAGGGGAGACUGGAAUUCCUGGUGUAGCGGUGAAAUGCGCAGAUAUCAGGAGGAACACCCGGGUGGCGAAAGGC
rnacentral:rRNA from 1 species